GCAGUGUCUCGGACUUGAACGGUUGAUGUCGAGGCUACCUCUUUUGCCAUGAAAGCACUUCUGCACAUAGCCCAGUCGGCCUUUGUUUCCUCCACGGCAGCCUUGGACGCCUCCAAGCUUAACUUGGCUCCAUCAACGUCCUGCCCCAAAUCUGCCAAGGCUUGAUACACUUUGGCCUGAAACAAGCUAUUCUCAUUGGCUAUCUCUUCCCCAUCAGCAUCAAUCCUUUCUUAGAAAGUAUCCAACGAAGUGUCAACCUUCUCGACGUACUCGUCUAAGGUUUGCUACGUGCAAUCCAACCUCUCUUUUGUGUCCGCCAUAGCUAUCUCAAGCUUAACUAAACGAGCUUGAAAACCAGCAAGAACGUCACGACACUUACCUCCCUUAUGUGUUGGUGGGAUGGUGCGCUCCUCCUCGCGACCCUUGCGAACUUGUUCCUCGCCACCGCUAGCCAUGUCGUGUAUGUGCCCAAGCUAACCCACGAACCCUUUCGUAGCGUGUGGUGGUGGGACGGUGCGCUCCUCCUCGCGACCCUUGCGAACUUGCUCCUCACCGCCGCUAGCCAUGUCGUGAAUGUGCCCAAGAUAACCCACGAACCCUUUCGUAGCGUUGCUCUGAUACCAACUGUCACGGACCGGAUAACUCCCUAGCUAUCUUUCGUGCGGCCUUAGUCACAAUUCGCCCCAGCGAUGUGCUAAGUCAGCCUUUUCCCGAACUAACACCACAACGAAGCUAAGAGAAGCUAAGAAGAGAAGCUUGCAAGAAAGCUUUGUAUUAAGAAAGAGAGCCUUUUACAAGUGUUGGAUUGCUUGAUUGUUUUCUC
rnacentral:lncRNA from 1 species